UACGUAGGGUGCGAGCGUUGUCCGGAAUUAUUGGGCGUAAAGGGCUCGUAGGCGGUCUGUCACGUCGGGAGUGAAAACUCAGGGCUUAACCCUGAGCCUGCUUCCGAUACGGGCAGACUAGAGGUAUGCAGGGGAGAACGGAAUUCCUGGUGUAGCGGUGAAAUGCGCAGAUAUCAGGAGGAACACCGGUGGCGAAGGCGGUUCUCUGGGCAUUACCUGACGCUGAGGAGCGAAAGCGUGGGGAGCAAACAGG
rnacentral:rRNA from 1 species